rnacentral:rRNA from 1 species
CCUACGGGCGGCAGCAGUGGGGAAUAUUGGGCAAUGGGCGCAAGCCUGACCCAGCAACGCCGCGUGAAGGAAGAAGGCUUUCGGGUUGUAAACUUCUUUUCUCAGGGACGAAGCAAGUGACGGUACCUGAGGAAUAAGCCACGGCUAACUACGUGCCAGCAGCCGCGGUAAUACGUAGGUGGCAAGCGUUAUCCGGAUUUACUGGGUGUAAAGGGCGUGUAGGCGGGAAAGCAAGUCAGAUGUGAAAACCAUGGGCUCAACCUGUGGCCUGCAUUUGAAACUGUUUUUCUUGAGUACUGGAGAGGCAGACGGAAUUCCUAGUGUAGCGGUGACAUGCGUAGAGAUUAGGAGGAACACCAGUGGCGAAGGCGGUCUGCUGGACAGCAACUGACGCUGAGGCGCGAAAGCGUGGGGAGCAAACAGGAUUAGAUACCCUUGUAGUC